GUGAAUCAUCGAAUCUUUGAACGCACAUUGCACUCUAUUUCGGUAGAGUAUGCCUGUUUGAGAAUCUAUAGUAUUUAUUUUGCCUUUAUGCUUUUAACAGAGUGUAAAGAACAAAGAGAUGUGGAUUGAUUUUUAAAUCUUCCUCGAAAUCUAUAGCUGAACUGUGCCUAGAGUGUUUGACUCUUUGCAAAGCAUCAGAAACGUAUUUGAAUGAGAUUUAUCUCUUAUAAUGCUUAUUAUGGUGCAGUAAAGAUUAGCUCAAAGCUACUUUGCAGUUUAUAACCAUUAAAGCCGUAAAAA
rnacentral:misc_RNA from 1 species